rnacentral:lncRNA from 1 species
CCGGGACCAAGUGAGCCGGCCGACGAUCGCAGUAAAGGUAUCGCGCCAUAGACAGAGACCGCCCGUGUUGGUUAUAUUUUGUGUAGUUGCAUACCUUUUAUAUAUCAUCUUUUGUACUUUGAUGAUUAUAGUUGUAUGAAUGAUGCAAAUAUAUUAAUAAAAGAAUGUAAAGAGUUCUAUUUUGGAAAAUAUGUGAUGUAAAAAGAAAUGAUGCAAAAGAUGUAAAGAGAAUACAAAUAUUGAAUGCAUGUAUGUGGUUAAAAGUAAAUCAUAUUACUUGUAUGAUGUUUAGUUAGUACUUUCACUUUGGCUAUUGCUUGCCCUCGUGCAACCCAUAUAUGUAUGUU